AGGAAUCAGGGAAGAUUAAAAGCUGAGCAGAAUGUAAUAUCUCUGAAUUACCUUCUGACCUUUUUGAGGCUGCAACCAGAGAUAAAUAAAAUUCAAGAUACCUCAGGCUCUCAGCAAGUCACAAGAAAACAAGAAAACAUGAUGCUGUCUGAGCAAUUGGUACAGGAAGCCUGGACACAUUGCUGAGGAAAUCAGAACUUCUUUGCAAAAGAUGGUGACAAUCUGUGGCCAAGAUGCUGCCGGGAGAUGAUUACAGGCACAGGAGAGGAGUUUCAGGCAGUUCCACUAAGAAAGUUCCCAUCUCAAGAGGAUGCUGUUUGAUUUCUUGUUAUUCACCAUCCGUGUGAUCCAUGGGGGGAAGAAAAGGUAUUAAAGAAGAGAAGCAUAUUAAUGUUAUUACUCCUUUCUAACUUUACAGAGUGGCUACUCUUUUAAAUUCUUUUGAGACAAACACCUGAAAGAAAAUGUUGAUAUGUGAGAUAAGCAAUAAGCAGUGUUUGAAUACAUGCAUAUGUUAAAGGACACCAUUAAAAUUAAAAAUAACUCUAGAAAGGAAACAAAG
rnacentral:lncRNA from 1 species